CUUCAUUAAUUUAAUCAAAAAAUGCUCUUUAAGAUAUUUAUAAGUAAAUACUAAAUUCUUUACUAAAAUUUUGGUGUUUCGUACACCUUUUCUUUUUCUUGUCCUCUCCUUCUCUCUCUACAUCACUCCCUUUCUUUAAAACCCUUUGGGGGAUGAAAAAAUGAAGUGGAAGUGAUGACAAAAUGGUGAAGUGGGGAUCCUUAUUUAUAGAAAAUAGGGACAAUUAGAUUUGUGCCAAGUGGCCAAAUCUGGUAAAGAGAGAGAAAGUCAAGAUAAAAUGAUGAGAUGUGACAACUACCAAUGUGACCGAUGGAUUAACGACGCGACACGACAGCAGUGCAAAAACUAGAGGAAUGCCACCC
rnacentral:lncRNA from 1 species